AGAACGAACGCUGGCGGCAGGCCUCAAACAUGCAAGUCUAGGGGGUGUAGCAAUACAUCACCGGCGGACGGGUGCGUAACACGUGGGAAUAUACCUUUUGGUUCGGAACAACGCAGGGAAACUUGCGCUAAUACCGAAUGUGCCCUUACGGGGAAAGAUUUAUCGCCAAAGGAUUAGCCCGCGUAGGAUUAGCUAGUUGGUGAGGUAAUGGCUCACCAAGGCUCCGAUCCUUAGCUGUUCUGAGAGGAAGAUCAGCCACACUGGGACUGAGACACGGCCCAGACUCCUACGGGAGGCAGCAGUUGGGAAUCUUGGACAUGGGGAAACCCUGAUCCAGCCAUGCCGCGUGAGUGAUGAAGGCCUUCGGGUUGUAAAACUCUUUCGACGGGGACGAUAAUGACGGUACCGUAGAAGAAGCUCCGGCUAACUUCGUGCCAGCAGCCGC
rnacentral:rRNA from 1 species